GUAUGUACUGCUUAGACAAAAUC
rnacentral:siRNA from 1 species